CUACUACAAAUUUUUUCCCCACGUAUCUCUCAUUAAGUUAUCUUUGAUUUCACGUCAAACUCUUUCAGUAAAUUACAAUUAACUCUACAGGUGAUAUACUAGUUUGUUUAACGUACAUCAAACAGUUUUUUUUUUAAAUUCUCAAUUUCUUCAUAAAACAAUAUUUAUCCCCAUUAAUCCGCGAAAUUUGAGAAGAAAAAAAAAAACGAUAAAAAAACGCUUUCCUGCCCUCAGCUAGCUUCAACCACUAGCAUAGCUGCGUAAAAACCUGCCGCUGCGUUUAAUAUAUAACAUCUAUAUCCCCGCGUGAUAUUUAUUUGCGCACAGCUCUACCGCUUCCGGCUGAACAAUGCGAGGGAACGAUCCAAAUAAAGGCUGCAAAUCAUGCUUCAAGUGCGGACUACACUCUUCAGAGAGAGAGCACAAGAGAUCAAGUUGAACCUACAUCACCCCCGACUACAAUAUCGCCGACAUUUCUUGUUAAAAACACGCAAAGUCGCGCGUAAAUGUGUCCAGCACGCCUGCCGCAAAGGGUGAUCGUUCCCCGGCGUACAUUUCCAGGCUGCAUAACACAGCAGAAGAGGUCGAAAGACCCUCUUUCUCUCUCGCCCACCUCUAAAGAUGUUGCUCCAUACACGCCGGGGAAUGCAGAUGUCGGUAGCCGAAGAGGUGGCACUCGGAGCCGGGCAGGGGCAGGACCCUCGACCCUGGGAGACCCUCCGGCGAAGCUGGCGGCGAGACGCGGGAGGAACGGCGCAGACAGGCGGCGCGAGCCUGGCUCUGACUGGCGGAGAGGGGGAGUGAGUCUAGACCGCAGCAGAGGAAGAAAGGACUGCCACUGGGGUCAGAGAGCAGCGACGAGAGCAUAGCCUCCGUACUAGCAUGGCGGAGCGAGAGUCUCUGCGCCUGUGGGUCCAAGGGUGUGCGCUACACGCAUUACCUUUGGGAAGUCAUGGAGAACUGGAGCAGUGAUCAGGGUGAGAACUCGCCGUGUCACAAUGCUGCUUCUACAAAACGUGGAAUGGCCUCUUGUCAUGUUUUGACAGGGUUUACAAAGGUCUGUUGUUCUGUAACGGCACAUCUCAUAGAGACAGCUCAGUUAUCACUGAAGUUGCUCUUUUGCUAAGGAGCAACUGGCAUUCGACCAGAACAACUCAACCCCUACACACAAUAGAAUGACAGAACAUUAGACAGACAGACAGACAGACAGACAGACAGACAGACAGAUAGAUAGAUAGAUAGAUAGAUAGAUAGAUAGAUAGAUAGAUAGAUAGAUAGAUAGAUGUAAAAUUCCUUGAAUGUAUCUAUCUUUGAAAAAAUAAGAAAGCUGGAGUGUUGACCCUCUCUUCACCUCUUACUUUUAAAUUCUUUGAGUGUCUGUGUUUGAGAAUUCAGAAUCCAGAGUGAAGUUGAUUCUCUUCAGAGAGGCUGAACUCUCAAUCCCAUCCCUCCCCUCUGCUAAUGCUAGACCGCAGAGAUGGGUCAAUCACUCUUCCCUCUCUCUCCCCAUCGGCUCUGAAAGUGUGACAAUAAAACAAGGAAGAACAGAAAACAGGUUUAUUGUAGAGAUGGGAUAUUGACAGCAACUGCAGUGUGAAACAACAAUGGCUUGACGUCUUUGUGAGGGUCACAUGCAGCAAACGCAAGUAGCAAAUGCAAGUUUAUGUUGCAUAAGAGAAUAUGGAACAAAAGCUAAUGAGGUGAAUGUCUGUGGCAAAUUUUGACCCAUUUAACCCAUUAAAAUACAUAGUAAAUGAUAUAUUUAUUAUAUAACUCUUCAUAAAAUACAUUAAGAAAAUUAAGCUUUUUUUUUUUUUUUUUUAAAAAAGUGAUAACAUUAACUAUAAAAACACAAGUAAUGUUAUACAAAAUCAUUUUUAUAUUAUUUAUAUGCUAAUGUGUGUGUGUGUGUGUGUGUGUGUGUGUGUGUGUGUGUGUGUGUAUAUGCACACACACACAGUACAUUAAGAAAAUUAAGAAAAUUUAAUUUGAAAAAUAUAUAUAUAUUAUUUAAAUGCUGACUUAUUUCUGCAUCAUUGAAGCAUGUUGUAAUCCCAAUUUAUUCUGAUAUUUAUUUAUAUAAAAAUAUAAUAUUUUAAUUAAAUAAAACUAGUUUUAAAACAUUUAUAUUAAAGAAGUUAUAUAUUGAAAAUAAGUAACAAAUUGCCAU
ensembl:lncRNA